rnacentral:misc_RNA from 1 species
UCGUAACAAGGUCUCCGUUGGUGAACCAGCGGAGGGAUCAUUACCGAGUUUACAACUCCCAAACCCUUAUGUGAACCGUACCUAUCGUUGCUUCGGCGGGAACGCCCCGGCGCCCUGCGCCCGGAUCCAGGCGCCCGCCGGAGACCCCAAACUCUUGUGUUUUUUUCAGUAUUCUCUGAGUGGCAAACGCAAAAAUAAAUCAAAACUUUUAACAACGGAUCUCUUGGCUCUGGCAUCGAUGAAGAACGCAGCGAAAUGCGAUAAGUAAUGUGAAUUGCAGAAUUCAGUGAAUCAUCGAAUCUUUGAACGCACAUUGCGCCCGUUAGCAUUCUAGCGGGCAUGCCUGUCCGAGCGUCAUUUCAACCCUCAGGGUCCCCGUUCCGGCGGGGAACCUGGUGUUGGGGAUCGGCCCGCCCCGCGCGGCGCCGUCCCCCAAAUUCAGUGGCGGUCUCGCUGCAGCCUCCCCUGCGUAGUAGUUACAACCUCGCAUCGGAGCUCAGCGCGGCCACGCCGUAAAACCCCCGACUUUCUGAACGUUGACCUCGGAUCAGGUAGGAAUACCCGCUGAACCUAAGCAUAUCA